UACGGAGGGAGCUAGCGUUGUUCGGAAUUACUGGGCGUAAAGAGCUCGUAGGUGGUUUGUCGCGUUGUUCGUGAAAACUCACAGCUCAACUGUGGGCGUGCGGGCGAUACGGGCAGACUGGAGUACUGCAGGGGAGACUGGAAUUCCUGGUGUAGCGGUGGAAUGCGCAGAUAUCAGGAGGAACACCGGUGGCGAAGGCGGGUCUCUGGGCAGUAACUGACGCUGAGGAGCGAAAGCGUGGGGAGCGAACAGG
rnacentral:rRNA from 1 species